rnacentral:tRNA from 1 species
GGGAAAGUGGCUCAGUGGUAGAGUGCUUGCCUUGCAUGCAAGAGGCCCUAGGUUCGAUUCCUCAGCACCA